rnacentral:rRNA from 1 species
GACGAACGCUGGCGGCGUGCCUAAUACAUGCAAGUAGAGCGCUCAGUAUUUACCCUUGCUUGCUUUUCCAUAGCAGCUAACUGGUGAAUAACGCGUUGGCACUUUGCUAUCCAGCGUGGUAGAACGUUUGGACACGAAUGCUAGUUCCGUAUUACAGCUUUAUACAUAUUUUUUAAUGUUAAUUGAUGCAAUUGCAUCACUCAACGACGAUCACACGUUCUAGCGUUGUAUUAGCUAGUAGGUGAGGUAACGGCUCACCUAGGCGACGAUACAUAGCCGACCUGAGAGGGUGAUCGGCCACACUGGGACUGAGACACGGCCCAGACUCCUACGGGAGGCAGCAGUAGGGAAUCUUCGGCAAUGGACGAAAGUCUGACCGAGCAACGCCGCGUGAGUGAAGAAGGUUUUCGGAUCGUAAAGCUCUGUUGGAAGAGAAGAACGGGGGUGAGAGUGGAAAGCUCACAAAGUGACGGUAACUAACCAGAAAGGGACGGCUAACUACGUG